rnacentral:rRNA from 1 species
UGAACGCUAGCGGUAUGCUUAACACAUGCAAGUCGUACGGGAGUUUUUAACUCAAGUGGCGGACGGGUGAGUAACACGUGAGAAUUUACCUUUAGGAGGGGGAUAACAAUUGGAAACGAUUGCUAAUACCCCAUAUGCUUUUUUAAGUUGAAACGGAUUUAUUCGCCUAAAGAAAAGCUCGCGGCUGAUUAGCUAGUUGGUAAGGUAAUGGCUUACCAAGGCGACGAUCAGUAUCUGGUUUGAGAGGAUGAUCAGACACACUGGAACUGAGACACGGUCCAGACUCCUACGGGAGGCAGCAGUGGGGAAUUUUCCGCAAUGGGCGAAAGCCUGACGGAGCAAUACCGCGUGAGGGAAGAAAGCCUACUGGGUUGUAAACCUCUUUUUUUCAGGGAGGAAAAAAACUGACGUGUACCUGAAGAAUAAGCAUCGGCUAACUCCGUGCCAGCAGCCGCGGUAAUCU